rnacentral:rRNA from 1 species
AGAGUUUGAUCAUGGCUCAGAUUGAACGCUGGCGGAAUGCUUUACACAUGCAAGUCGAACGGCAGCACGGGUGCUUGCACCUGGUGGCGAGUGGCGAACGGGUGAGUAAUGCACCGGAACGUAUCCAAUAAUGGGGGAUAACGCACCGAAAGGUGUGCUAAUACCGCAUACGCCCUGAGGGGGGAAAGCGGGGGAUCGUAAGACCUCGCGUUAAUGGAGCGGCCGAUGCCGGAUUAGCUAGUUGGUGAGGUAAAGGCUCACCAAGGCGACGAUCCGUAGCUGGUCUGAGAGGACGACCAGCCACACUGGAACUGAGACACGGUCCAGACUCCUACGGGAGGCAGCAGUGGGGAAUUUUGGACAAUGGGCGCAAGCCUGAUCCAGCCAUUCCGCGUGAGUGAAGAAGGCCUUCGGGUUGUAAAGCUCUUUCGCAAGGAAAGAAAACUUAUCUCCUAAUACGAGGUGAGGUUGACGGUACCUUGAUAAGAAGCACCGGCUAACUACGUG